AAAUUUUGUUUUUGUGGAUGCUAGGGAUCCCAACUCAAGUCUCCGUACUUAGAUGACAAACACUUUCCUGAGUGAACCAUCUUCUCAGCCUCAACACCCACAGCUUAUUCAUCUUCCUACUUCUUCAGGCAGGAUGCAGUAGCAUACGAAAACUGGUUUGGGGAUGAGAAGGUUCUAGACUAGGAUGCAGGUGCUCACGAUUCUCAGCCCCAGUGACUUGGGCAAGGUGUGAAACCUCUCUGUGGUUGUUUGAACAAGAGUAAAUCCCUUAAUAGUCCUUUUAUCAAUAGGUGGAGUCUGUGCCCCCAUCCCAGGCAGAUGAGAUGUCACAUACAAGAUUGCCAGGCUGGGAAAGGAAAGCCCACGUAAUGAUGCUGGCUCCUUGUGUGAAAUUUGGCUUCCUGGUGGAGAGAGACUUCAGUGGCCUCUUUACAAGCACUGGUUCAGUCAGUCCUUGAACGACUGCAUGACAGAGUGGAGGCUCCAAAGUACGAGGGUGAAAAGCGUCUGUGAGAUUCUAUGGGCGCAUCCUCUGCCCCAGGCACCACACUGAGAACCAAAGGAACAGACAUCAGAGACCUUCAGGAGCUCGCAGUGCCUGAGACCUAAGCACAAAGACACUUAGAGGCAAACAGGGGCCUUGCAAGUGUUGAAGAGGAGCCUGCACACAGCCAAGCUCUUUGCAAGUAGGGAGAAGAGCCAAAGACUUAAGAUAUGUACAGGCCUUAAACAGGUGAACACAGCCUGGUGGAUGAUCUCAGCUGACAAGGAACAGAAGAACACCCUGUCUGAUCCUGUGGUUCAUGAGCAGAAUUGGCUCAGCUCAGAGCUUGUCUGUGAACCCUCGCUAAGGUAGGGACUAUGUUCCAUCUACCACUAUAUCCCCAGCACCCAGUACAGUAUCUGAGACAUGGUAGGUACUCAAUUAAAUGGACUUGCUGGACAAAUGAUUGUUUACAUUUAUUUACUUCCCCAGGACCUUUGUGAAGAUGAAUAUUCAUGUUGCUGUUAUUUCCAUUUUCAGAUGAUGGACUGGAGACAGGUCCAGCAAGGGUAAAUGACUCGCCCAUAAACACACAGCCUGGAAAUAGCACAGUCAGACUCAAAUGCCAAGCCCCAUGCUCUUUCCUCCACACCAUGCCCUCCCUGGGUUCCUAUAUAUUAUGUCCUACUUUCUGUGGAUAUUUUCUAGCCAGUGGGGCCAUCUCUGAUUGUAGAAUCAUCUCCGAAUUCUAUGACUCAUAUCUGAAUCACAGAAGUGUUUAAUAGUUGAAAGAGACUUUGAUGUCACUGAGACCCUCCCACCCACUGUGGAAAUUUCCUCUCCAUUGCUUCUCUUGCAAUACUUGAAUGCCUCCAGUGACAGAGCACUCAUUUCCCUCCACUGGAGUCAGUCAUCAGUUCUAUGACUGGACCACUCCGAGAGUCAGAAAGAGCAGAAAGAGCAGCUUGGAAUGGAAUGCUGUGGGCAACCCUCUCACCCUCCACCUCUAUCACCUGGACAACAUUUGCUAAAACUCUCCUGUGUCAACAGGCAGCAACUGCUGCUCUUAGAAGCAGAGAGCCUCAGAAAUGAUGGGUGCCUUCAGCCUGCAUUUGCCAAGCACCUCCUGUGAGCAAGACCUGUGCCAGUCCUGAUAGUACAAUGCUGAGCAAGCCAGGACCCUUCUCAUCUGACCAAAAAGCUGCGGGUGCUAACAUGAUUGUGCUGGCAUCUCCUUUGACUAAUGUCUGUAUAUGGGGAGAGUUCCACUCAAGUCUGUGGGAGGAGGAAAUGUCCUCCAAAGGGAAGGCAGGAGCUACUUCUUAAAGGAUGUUUCUAGUAGAUGAUGGGUUGCCAGAGUAAGGACUUGGGGCACCACCUGGAAGUAGGCUGGUCAGGGGAUCAGGAAAGCAGGUGAGACUUAAGCUUCAGCAGAGGCACUAGAGCAAAACAGCUCCCAAAAGUCAUGAGCCCUGCCUCUCGGGUGGGGAGGCCUUUUUGCACUUGGCUGUGUGGCUUCCCUGUACCGAGGGGUGGCACCAGCCUCCCAGUGCCAGCAUGGGCUUGGGAGGUCUGCAGCAGGAGGGAGGUGGAGGCUAGCAGCACAGAUGUAAGGAAGGGACAUUGGAUUCAGCAGGGGGUGUCUGGUCAUAGAGUCUGCAUAGCAUAAAAUCUACUGUUUAUUUAUUUACUUAUUUAUUGAGACAGUGUCAUUAUGCAUGCCA